GACGAACCGUGCGAACGUUGUUCGGAAUCACUGGGCUUAAAGGGCGCGUAGGCGGGCUGACAAGUCUGGGGUGAAAUCCCACGGCUCAACCGUGGAACUGCCUUAGAUACUGUCGGCCUCGAGGAAGGUAGGGGCAUGCGGAACUGUAGGUGGAGCGGUGAAAUGCGUUGAUAUCUACAGGAACUCCGGUGGCGAAAGCGGCGUGCUGGACCUUUUCUGACGCUGAGGCGCGAAAGCUAGGGGAGCAAACGGGG
rnacentral:rRNA from 1 species